GAGAAUAACGACGAGAGUCUGACCAGCCAAGUAGCGUGAAGGAUGACUGCCCUAUGGGUUGUAAACUUCUUUUAUAAGGGAAUAAAGUGAGGGACGUGUCCCUUUUUGUAUGUACCUUAUGAAUAAGGAUCGGCUAACUCCGUGCCAGCAGCCGCGGUAAUACGGAGGAUCCAAGCGUUAUCCGGAUUUAUUGGGUUUAAAGGGAGCGUAGGUUGACAUAUAAGUCAGCUGUGAAAGUUUACGGCUCAACCGUGAAAUUGCAGUUGAUACUGUAUGUCUUGAGUGUACAAGAGGUGGGCGGAAUUCGUGGUGUAGCGGUGAAAUGCUUAGAUAUCACGAAGAACUCCAAUUGCGAAGGCAGCUCACUGGGGUACAACUGACACUGAGGCUCGAAAGUGUGGGUAUCAAACAGGAUUAGAUACCCUGGUAGUCCACACAGUAAACGAUGAAUACUCGCUGUUUGCGAUAUACAGUAAGCGGCCAAGCGAAAGCAUUAAGUAUUCCACCUGGGGAGUACGCCGGCAACGGUGAAACUCAAAGGAAUUGACGGAG
rnacentral:rRNA from 1 species